UCCAUACAUCUCAUGGAAGAGCUGUCCAGAGUCUAGACAACACAGAAAGUGGUCAUUUUGGUCUUUUGGAACUUUAAAUAGUUCCCAUCACUUCCUGGAUUUACUUUGGCUACAGACAUCUUCUCCAUAUAAACCCAAGAAAAGAUGGGCACUAAUACUGAAUAAUACAUGAUUCCACAUAUCUCCAGGCUCAUAAAUAUUCAGAGUGCUCAGACUACUUCUAAAGUAUAUAUAUUUAGUCAAGGGAACAACAGCUUCAGUGCUGCCCAGAAAAGCUAUGCUCCACGCUUGUGCCUCAUUCACAAUGGCUUCCUGGUGAAGAAUCCAGAUUUUAUUGGAGGAGGUAAUGAAGUCACCUAAAGUAUUUCAUUUUCUAGUACUCUUGGUCAAUUGUCGACAAAAGUAUUGUGUGGGCGCUCUCUGCCAAAAAGAAGCUGACUCAGCUGCUUCCUGGACUGUGAACAAAGUGGCAGAAAUUUGGGAAGUCAACUUGGACUAUGAGAUGACCUUGGGGAUAGAAGCCACAAACUAGGAGGUAGAACAGAAAGAUGGAAGGAACAUGAGCCCUGAGGACUCUGGAACCUGCAAAAUUUUGCCUAAAUACUCCAGAUUCCCUUUGCCUGAGAGAAAAGUAAAAUUUUAUUUUGUUUAAGCCUUUUAUAUUUUGUGUUUUUUUCUGUAAUGUAGAGCACAUCAAGUUCUAAGUGAUAGAAGUAACAUUUUCGGUUCCAUGGAAUACUAUUUUUCUUCUAGGUGUUUUGAUCAAAAAGUAAAUAAACAAACAAUCCCCCAAAACACUAAACAACCAUAAACAAUAACAAGAUAAAACAAGAACCAAGGAGGUCAAUUAAGUUCGUAACACAUUUCAGCCUAAAGCCUACAUGUAAUGCCUCUAUGUCAACGUCAAUCUAAUGCCUACAGGUCUCCAUAUAAGAGACUAUAGGAGUCUAUAGGAGCACAUUAAAGGCUCUGUAAAUUACCAGAGACAGGAAAGUGGGUUAACUUUGACCUAGCCCCUCCCAGAGAUAAUUAUUUGUCUAUGAUCCCUUUCUUGUGAAACACUUGUUAAUAUUGUGGAUAAGUAACACCACAGGAGCCAUUUUAAAAUAGAGCCUCAGCAACCACUGCAGACAAACUGCCUUACUCGCCUUUGUCUGAACCUGGCCAGAGCCUUUGGACCUGGAAAAACAGCAAUGGUUUUAAACAAUUGCUGGAGAAGUCAGAAGGAGAACGGACACCCUGAUCAUAAGAACAGUUGUGGACUUUGUGCAGUCACAAUCAGUAAUCAAUCAAUGCAAAACCCAGAAUAGCAUAGCUUGUUAACACCAUAGAAAACUUUUUCUUUUCUUCAACUCAUGGAAUUGCCCCUUUACUUUUCCUCUUAUGCUUUCACCCUACAAGUGGGACACUCUUUGGGUUUCUACCUCAAUCUGUGUUCCCUGAACCGGAGUUCUAGGAUACCAAAAUUAAUGCCCAUUUACUUCUCUUUGAAGCUCUUAUUUGCAGGUUAACUAUACCUUAUAGAAUAUAGUUUAGGAAGCUGUACUUCGGUUUAGUUUUAGGAAACAUCACUUUCGAGACUGCCCAGAAUACUGGGCUUAAUGAAGUCUUGGACUGACUGAGAAAAACGAGAAGUGCCUCCGGCUCUGUUCCUAACCGCCUAGUGAGUCCAUCUUCUGUAAAAUAAAGGACUUUGAAUCAGAUUGCCAAUUAGCUUUCAGCCCUACACUUCCAUGAGGUCAGAUUAGGUCUGACAAACAGUUAUCUUUUGGGUGUUCUUAGAUGCAAGCA